rnacentral:rRNA from 1 species
GACGAACGCUGGCGGCGUGCUUAACACAUGCAAGUCGAACGAGAGCGUAGAGACAGCUUGCUUUUUCUACAAUCUAGUGGCAAACGGGUGAGUAACGCGUAAACAACCUGCCCUACGGAUGGGGACAACAGCUGGAAACGGCUGCUAAUACCGAAUACGUUCCGAAAGUCGCAUGACUAUCGGAAGAAAGGAUGGCCUCUAUUUAUAAGCUAUCGCCGGAGGAGGGGUUUGCGUCUGAUUAGCUAGUUGGAGGGGUAACGGCCCACCAAGGCGACGAUCAGUAGCCGGGCUGAGAGGAUGAACGGCCACAUUGGAACUGAGACACGGGCCAGAAUCCUACGGGAGGCAGCAGUGGGGAAUCAUCCGCAAUGGGCGAAAGCCUGACGGAGCAACGCCGCGGGAGUGAAGACGGCCUUCGGGUUGGAAAGCUCUGUUAUACGGGACGAAUAAUCUUGUGGUUAAUACCCAUGAGAAGUGACGGUACCGGAAGAGAAAGCCACGGCUAACUACGUG